CCUACGGGUGGCAGCAGUAGGGAAUAUUGCUCAAUGGGGGAAACCCUGAAGCAGCAACGCCGCGUGGAGGAUGAAGGUUUUCGGAUUGUAAACUUCUUUUGUUAGAGAAGAUAAUGACGGUAUCUAACGAAUAAGCACCGGCUAACUCCGUGCCAGCAGCCGCGGUAAUACGGAGGGUGCAAGCGUUACUCGGAAUCACUGGGCGUAAAGAGCGCGUAGGCGGGAUAGCAAGUCAGAUGUGAAAUCCUAUGGCUUAACCAUAGAACUGCAUUUGAAACUGUUAUUCUAGAGUAUGGGAGAGGUAGGUGGAAUGCUUGGUGUAGGGGUGAAAUGCGUAGAGAUCAAGAGGAAUACUGAUUGCGAAGGCGGCCUGCUAGAACAUAACUGACGCUGAUGCGCGAAAGCGUGGGGAGCAAACAGGAUUAGAUACCCCAGUAGUC
rnacentral:rRNA from 1 species